GUGCACGAGGCGCAGACUACACAUGCAGUCGAGCGGUAACAGAUCCAGCUUGCUAGGAUGCUGACGAGCGGCGGACGGGUGAGUAAUGCAUAGGAAUCUGCCCGAUAGUGGGGGAUAACCUGGGGAAACCCAGGCUAAUACCGCAUACGUCCUACGGGAGAAAGGGGGCUCCGGCUCCCGCUAUGGGAUGAGCCUAUGUCGGAUUAGCUGGUUGGUGAGGUAACGGCUCACCAAGGCCACGAUCCGUAGCUGGUCUGAGAGGAUGAUCAGCCACAUCGGGACUGAGACACGGCCCGAACUCCUACGGGAGGCAGCAGUGGGGAAUAUUGGACAAUGGGGGAAACCCUGAUCCAGCCAUGCCGCGUGUGUGAAGAAGGCCCUCGGGUUGUAAAGCACUUUCAGCGAGGAAGAACGCCUAGCGGUUAAUACCCGCUAGGAAAGACAUCACUCGCAGAAGAAGCACCGGCUAACUCCGUGCGAGCAGCCGCGGUAAUACGGAGGGUGCAAGCGUUAAUCGGAAUUACUGGGCGUAAAGCGCGCGUAGGUGGCUUGAUAAGCCGGUUGUGAAAGCCCCGGGCUCAACCUGGGAACGGCAUCCGGAACUGUCAAGCUAGAGUGCAGGAGAGGAAGGUAGAAUUCCCGGUGUAGCGGUGAAAUGCGUAGAGAUCGGGGAGGAAUACCCGGUGGCGAAGGCGGCCUUCUGGACCUGACACUGACACUGA
rnacentral:rRNA from 1 species